GUCUCGAGUGUGAGCGAGUGGAACUGGUGGUGGACGCUGAGAAAGUCCGAGGUCUCACAGCCGUAAACAACGCCCGGACGGCUACAGGAAGCACACACUUCCGGGUCUAUUCAAUCCCUCUGUUGACCCUUGAUCACGUCACAAUCCCAGAAUCCAUCACGACUAUCCCAGCAUCCGUCACAUCAAUGUCCGGUCCGCCUCCAUAAAAUGUCCAUCCUUUCUCCCUUCAGUGUCUUUUGAUUUCUUGUAUGAAACGACUGACAAAACUUUUUGUUACAGUAUACGGGGCUAAAACCCCAAACCU